UUUCCGUAGGUGAACCUGCGGAAGGAUCAUUAACGAGUUUUGAAAGGGGUUGUAGCUGGCUUCAAACGAGGCAUGUGCACACCCUGCUCAUCCACUCUCAACCUCUGUGCACUUGUUGUAGGUCGGCGGAAAGGCUCAGUGGUAACAUUGAGUCUGGAAACCUUCCUAUGUUUUAUUACAAACGCUUCAGUUAAAGAAUGUUACUCUGCGUAUAACGCAUCUAUAUACAACUUUCAGCAACGGAUCUCUUGGCUCUCGCAUCGAUGAAGAACGCAGC
rnacentral:misc_RNA from 1 species